rnacentral:pre_miRNA from 1 species
AUUGCGGGGAAUGUUGUCUGGCUCGAGGAAUCAAAACUAUUUUCUUACUUACUUUUUAUAGAUCUAUAUAUUAUGGAUAUAGAUCUACAGUGUUGGAUUAUGUUUUUGGUGUCGUCGGACCAGGCUUCAUUCCCCACAAU